rnacentral:rRNA from 1 species
UACACACGGAUAACAUACCGAAAGGUAUGCUAAUACGGGAUAAUAUAUUUGAGAGGCAUCUCUUAAAUAUCAAAGGUGAGCCAGUACAGGAUGGACCCGCGUCUGAUUAGCUAGUUGGUAAGGUAACGGCUUACCAAGGCGACGAUCAGUAGCCGACCUGAGAGGGUGAUCGGCCACAUUGGAACUGAGACACGGUCCAAACUCCUACGGGAGGCAGCAGUGGGGAAUAUUGCACAAUGGGCGAAAGCCUGAUGCAGCAACGCCGCGUGAGUGAUGAAGGCCUUCGGGUCGUAAAACUCUGUCCUCAAGGAAGAUAAUGACGGUACUUGAGGAGGAAGCCCCGGCUAACUACGUGCCAGCAGCCGCGGUAAUACGUAGGGGGCUAGCGUUAUCCGGAUUUACUGGGCGUAAAGGGUGCGUAGGCGGUCUUUCAAGUCAGGAGUGAAAGGCUACGGCUCAACCGCAGUAAGCUCUUGAAACUGGGAGACUUGAGUGCAGGAGAGGAGAGUGGAAUUCCUAGUGUAGCGGUGAAAUGCGUAGAUAUUAGGAGGAACACCAGUUGCGAAGGCGGCUCUCUGGACUGUAACUGACGCUGAGGCACGAAAGCGUGGGGAGCAAACAGGAUUAGAUACCCUGGUAGUCCACGCUGUAAACGAUGAGUACUAGGUGUCGGGGGUUACCCCCUUCGGUGCCGCAG